rnacentral:miRNA from 1 species
UAUUGCACUUUUUUGCUUUGA